rnacentral:ncRNA from 2 species
UUGAAUAGUAAAAUUUUUGGUGUGUAUCUUUGAUACACUUAAAAGGGAAGUUUGGUGUAAUUCCGACACGGUCCCGCCACUGUAAAAAACUGUACUGCUCAUAACCACUGUGAACAACGGGAAGGGAGUAAGUACGAUAGUUUUGAGUCAGGAGACCUGCCAAGAAUGUUUGCGCUGU